AUUUUAACUAACAGAUUAAGUGAGUUACUAUAAUAAUAGAUCAGACAUCAUAUCAUUACCCAAAACCUUAAAAUAAUAGGGUUUUAAGUCUUUCUUUAUUAUAUAUAUUUAUUUAAUCCAUUCUCAAUUAAGAUAAUAAUUUACCUCUCAUACUUGAUAUGUCAGCUCCGCUUAUGUGGUCGAGUUAAGUGCACCCGCAUGAAGCAUUCUAUCAUCACUUUAGAUAGGAGCAGAAUGGAUAACAUGCAACUAGUUCUUCGAAUUGAUAUAUCAUAUUGUUGGGCCAUUGUGGGGAGCUCUCGACCACCAGAAAGAUUUUUGGGAGGAAUUAAGUGAGAGAAUAUAAGAUGAGAAGACACCACAUCUAACUCAAAAACCUUAAGGUAGUAAAUUAAUGGGUCUCUCAUCUUAUAAACACCUCACUCUUCCUUACUUUUUUCAAUCUCCUCCACCACAUAUGAGUAUUCGUUCAUCAUACCGCCACACUACACUGCGGGACACACCGUCCUAACUAUCUUUGUGGGAAAGACUUUUGAUGCUUCACCUUGAAUACUCAUUAAACCAAACCGAUUAACCAUCGGCUCUAUUACCACUUAUUGGGCUACCGUGGGGAGCUCUCGACUACCAAGGAGAUUUUCGGGAGGAAUCAAGUGAGAAAACAUAAGAUGAGAAGACACCACAUCAAACUUAAAAACCUUAGACAUAGGUUCUUUGUCUAAGUUCAAUGGUUCACAAAAUUCAAAACUUAACGAAAUUCGAGUCGUCACAUGAAUUGGAGCAUAUGAUUUCCCCGUCUCUCCCUUUUCCUGGGAAUGCUUACAAUCACAAGCAAGUAAUUGAAUGAGUGGGGGG